AGCCUAUGAAUCAUAGAAUCAUAGAAUCAUAGAGUUGGAAGAGACCACAAGGGCCAUCCAGUCCAACCCCUUGCCAAGCUUUUGGGUGAAGGGGAAUAUAGAAAUAACAACAGCAGCAAUGGUGACGGAAUAGCUCACUACUAAAUUCGGUCCAGCUUAUCACAUACUUCCUGCCGGUUGUUUCUCAAACCGACUUCACACCAACUGAAGUCCUUCA